GAUGAACGCUGGCGGCGUGCCUAAUACAUGCAAGUCGAGCGAAUGGAUUAAGAGCUUGCUCUUAUGAAGUUAGCGGCGGACGGGUGAGUAACACGUGGGUAACCUGCCCAUAAGACUGGGAUAACUCCGGGAAACCGGGGCUAAUACCGGAUAACAUUUUGAACCGCAUGGUUCGAAAUUGAAAGGCGGCUUCGGCUGUCACUAAUGGAUGGACCCGCGUCGCAUUAGCAAGUUGGUGAGGUAACGGCUCACCAAGGCAACGAUGCGUAGCCCACCUGAGAGGGCGGUCGGCCACACUGGGACUGAGACACGGCCCAGACUCCUACGGGAGGCAGCAGUAGGGAAUCUUCCGCAAUGGACGAAAGUCUGACGGAGCAACGCCGCGUGAGUGAUGAAGGCUUUCGGGUCGUAAAACUCUGUUGUUAGGGAAGAACAAGUGCUAGUUGAAUAAGCUGGCACCUUGACGGUACCUAACCAGAAAGCCACGGCUAACUACGUGCCAGCAGCCGCCGCCG
rnacentral:rRNA from 1 species